rnacentral:rRNA from 1 species
AGAGUUUGAUCCUGGCUCAGGACGAACGCUGGCGGCGUGCCUAAUACAUGCAAGUCGAACGAAGCUUUCUUUCACCGAAUGCUUACAUUCACCGAAAGAAGCUUAGUGGCGAACGGGUGAGUAACACGUAGGCAACCUGCCCAAAAGAGGGGGAUAACACUUGGAAACAGGUGCUAAUACCGCAUAACCAUGAACACCGCAUGAUGUUCAUGUAAAAGACGGCUUUUGCUGUCACUUUUGGAUGGGCCUGCGGCGCAUUAACUUGUUGGUGGGGUAACGGCCUACCAAGGUGAUGAUACGUAGCCGAACUGAGAGGUUGAUCGGCCACAUUGGGACUGAGACACGGCCCAAACUCCUACGGGAGGCAGCAGUAGGGAAUCUUCCACAAUGGACGAAAGUCUGAUGGAGCAACGCCGCGUGAAUGAAGAAGGCCUUCGGGUCGUAAAAUUCUGUUGCCAGAGAAGAACGUGCGUGAGAGUAACUGUUCACGUAUUGACGGUAUCUGACCAGAAAGCCACGGCUAACUACGUGCCAGCAGCCGCGGUAAUACGUAGGUGGCGAGCGUUGUCCGGAUUUAUUGGGCGUAAAGGGAACGCAGGCGGUCUUUUAAGUCUGAUGUGAAAGCCUUCGGCUUAACCGAAGUAGUGCAUUGGAAACUGGAAGACUUGAGUGCAGAAGAGGAGAGUGGAACUCCAUGCGUAGCGGUGAAAUGCGUAGAUAUAUGGAAGAACACCAGUGGCGAAAGCGGCUCUCUGGUCUGUAACUGACGCUGAGGUUCGAAAGCGUGGGUAGCAAACAGGAUUAGAUACCCUGGUAGUCCACGCCGUAAACGAUGAGUGCUAAGUGUUGGAGGGUUUCCGCCCUUCAGUGCUGCAGCUAACGCAUUAAGCACUCCGCCUGGGGAGUACGGUCGCAAGACUGAAACUCAAAGGAAUUGACGGGGGCCCGCACAAGCGGUGGAGCAUGUGGUUUAAUUCGAAGCAACGCGAAGAACCUUACCAGGUCUUGACAUCUUCUGACAAUUCCAGAGAUGGAACGUUCCCUUCGGGGACAGAAUGACAGGUGGUGCAUGGUUGUCGUCAGCUCGUGUCGUGAGAUGUUGGGUUAAGUCCCGCAACGAGCGCAACCCUUAUUGUCAGUUGCCAUCAUUAAGUUGGGCACCCUGGCGAGACUGCCGGUGACAAACCGGAGGAAGGUGGGGAUGACGUCAAAUCAUCAUGCCCCUUAUGACCUGGGCUACACACGUGCUACAAUGGACGGUACAACGAGUCGCUAACUCGCGAGGGCAAGCUAAUCUCUUAAAGCCGUUCUCAGUUCGGAUUGCAGGCUGCAACUCGCCUGCAUGAAGUCGGAAUCGCUAGUAAUCGCGAAUCAGCAUGUCGCGGUGAAUACGUUCCCGGGCCUUGUACACACCGCCCGUCACACCAUGAGAGUUUGUAACACCCAAAGUCGGUGGGGUAACCUUUUGGAGCCAGCCGCCUAAGGUGGGACAGAUGAUUGGGGUGAAGUCGUAACAAGGUA